rnacentral:rRNA from 1 species
CCCUUAGAUGUUCUGGGCUGCACGCGCGCUACACUGAUGCGCUCAACGAGUUUUAACCUUGCCUGGAAAGGUUGGGUAAUCUUUUUAAAACGCAUCGUGAUGGGGAUAGAUUAUUGCAAUUAUUAAUCUUCAACGAGGAAUUCCUAGUAAGCGCGAGUCAUCAGCUCGUGCUGAUUACGUCCCUGCCCUUUGUACACACCGCCCGUCGCUCCUACCGAUUGAAUGAUCCGGUGAAUAAUUCGGACUGCGGCAUUGACCGGUUCCCGAUCGUUGCUGCGGAAAGUUUAGUGAACCUUAUCACUUAGAGGAAGGAGAAGUCGUAACA